UACAGAGGGUGCAAGCGUUGUUCGGAAUUAUUGGGCGUAAAGCGCGUGUAGGCGGCUUUGCAAGUCGGGUGUGAAAGCCCUCAGCUCAACUGAGGAAGUGCGCCCGAAACUGCAGAGCUUGAGUGCCGGAGAGGGUGGCGGAAUUCCCCAAGUAGAGGUGAAAUUCGUAGAUAUGGGGAGGAACACCGGUGGCGAAGGCGGCCA
rnacentral:rRNA from 1 species